rnacentral:rRNA from 1 species
GAGUCGGUCCGCGCGGAAGAUGUAACGGGGCUAAGCGAUGUACCGAAGCUGCGGGUGCAUAGCAAUAUGCGCGGUAGAGGAGCGUUCCGUAAGCCUGCGAAGGUGACUCGUAAGGGUUGCUGGAGGUAUCGGAAGUGCGAAUGCUGACAUGAGUAACGAUAAUGCAGGUGAAAAACCUGCACGCCGUAAGCCCAAGGUUUCCUGCGCAACGAUUUUCGGCGCAGGGUAAGUCGGAUCCUAAGGCGAGGCCGAAAGGCGUAGUCGAUGGGAAACAGGUUAAUAUUCCUGUACUUCUGGUUAUUGCGAUGGAGGGACGGAGAAGGCUAGGCCAGCUUGGCGUUGGUUGUCCAAGUUUAAGGUGGUAGGCUGGAAUCUUAGGUAAAUCCGGGAUUCUAAGGCCGAGAGCUGAUGACGAGUUACCUUUUAGGUAACGAAGUGGUUGAUGCCAUGCUUCCAAGAAAAGCUUCUAAGCUUCAGGUAACCAGGAACCGUACCCCAAACCGACACAGGUGGUUGGGUAGAGAAUACCAAGGCGCUUGAGAGAACUCGGGUGAAGGAACUAGGC